GGGUGCUGCCCGGCCAGGAAUGUCAGGUGCCUCUCCAGCAUACCCCGACGGUGACAGGGACGGUGACUCCAACUGGGGCCCAAGGGAAACAUGCUGAGGUGGCCUCUAGAAGCGAUUGCCCUCUCUCCUUGGAACAAAGUAAUUUUUUUUUUUUAAAAUCACCCACAAAAGGAACAACUCGGAGUGCCCGGAUGCACGCGGGCGAGGCGGUGGGAAAGGACCGUCGGGAGGCAGCGCCGGCGAUCAGGUCCCUGCCAUCACUGCUCAGGCUCCUCCCUCCUCGGGAGCCGUCUCCCAGCCAACCACUCCAGGAUAAAGUUGCAUUUUCAGGAAAUUUCCCAUUCCGGGUGCUCCUCUCCACAUCGUUCAGUGUUUGUGAAGGAAUUUAGUAACCAACUAGGAAAACCUGGUGGCCCAUCGUCACCUGCUCCAGGGCCUCUCAGCUUCCAGGGAGCAGGACCCCACUAUGGGCUUCCAGCCUUUGUUGGAAUGAACCUACUACGUGCAUCACUGUGAGGACUUUCACGCCUAUAAUCGCACCGACUUCUUUAAAAAAAAAAAGUUUUUAGUUGUAGGUGGACACAAUACCUUUAUUUUAUUUCUUUUUUAUAUGUGGUGCUGAGGAUCAGACCCAGGGCCUCACAUGUUCUAGAGCUCUCCUGCUGCGCCAAAACCCCAGCCACUCCCACUGAUUUCUUAAAAUAACCCUGAGAAAUUUGUAUCAAUAUCCUAACUCUUCCAAUAAGCAAAGCAGGAAUCUCCAAAACCCAGAUACCUUGAGAACACCAGACAGUACUAUUAAUUUCUUCUUCAGGCAAGAAAAGUGAAACACAAUGGUCCGCUGUGCAACGCUAUUCUCAAUUACACCCGUCACAUGCCACUGGCCUCCAGUGAUAGUGAGCAAAUAAAUAUGAUGCACAGUUUUCUAAAUUCACCAGUAAAAAAAGACACGUAUAUUUCAUACCAUCUUAGGAAAAGUAAAGAUGCACCCAUUUCCAGCCACCAGGAUACCAAGGCUCAGAAAAAUACUCUAGAAAUGUAUAUGUCAAAUUUUUACUCUUAAAAACCUUAAACAAGGUAACUUUUGGUAAAACAAAUUACCUUUUAUAAACUUUCAAAGCUUAAAACAACUUUUAGAUCAACUACUGCCAAAAGUAAAAUUUCCUUCAUGUCUAGGGUGCACAGUAUGCAAUGUAACCUAAUAUUUAAACUGAGAGAAAUUUAAUUCUAAAUGGAAAGGAGAUUGACAGAAGUUCUUGAGUUCAUUUUUGUUUCUAAAUGAUAAGAGUACCAGUGUCAUUUUGGUCCUGCAGAAAAUGAAACAAAGUACUCUGAAAUCUCCUGGGAAAGCAGGCAGGAUUAAUGAGAUGCUGACGUAGUAAUAAUGAAAUUCCUGAUUAAAAAAUACGCUGUCUUAGGAAUGAGGUGUUCCUAGGUAACUAUCACUGCUAUAAGAUACUAUCAAACUAAUGAGAAAAAAGAAAAGGAAGCAGGAAAAAUGUCAAAAGACUACAGACCCAGGAACACAUCAAUCACGAACUGAAAAGGGUAUAAAUCCUUAAAGUUCCAGGACUUCUGGAUUAAAAAUAUGGCAUCUGUAUUCUAGUGGAAACUUACUUCUUUUUUGCCCAUUAAGAUAAAAGUCUCAAUGCCUAAAUGCAAUGAAUCCUGUUAAAACUCAUUUUUGUAUGACUAUAAUCCAGCCCUCAUUUAAAAAAAUGGAAAACAGAAAAGAUCUUCAAUAAACUAAGCUGUUGGGAAAAAAAAUCACAAUUUUAAAAUCUGG
rnacentral:lncRNA from 1 species